UGCUAAGACUGGAUAGGAAAUAAAAAGGCAUCUUUUUAUUUUUAAAAGACCUUUUUCGGAAGGUAUGCUUAAAGAGGGGCUUGCGUCACAUUAGUUAGUUGGCAGGGUAAAGGCCUACCAAGACUAUGAUGUGUAGCUGGACUGAGAGGUUGAACAGCCACAUUGGGACUGAGACACGGCCCAAACUCCUACGGGAGGCAGCAGUAGGGAAUUUUCGGCAAUGGAGGAAACUCUGACCGAGCAACGCCGCGUGAACGAUGAAGUAUUUCGGUAUGUAAAGUUCUUUUAUUGAAGAAGAAAAAAUAGUGGAAAAACUAUCUUGACGAUAUUCAAUGAAUAAGCCCCGGCAAACUAUGUGCCAGCAGCCGCGGUAAUACAUAGGGGGCGAGCGUUAUCCGGAAUUAUUGGGCGUAAAGGGUGCGUAGGCGGUUUAAUAAGUCUAUAGUUUAAUUUCAGUGCUUAACACUGUCCUGCUAUAGAAACUAUUAGACUAGAGUGAGAUAGAGGCAAGUGGAAUUCCAUGUGUAGCGGUAAAAUGCGUAAAUAUAUGGAGGAACACCAGAGGCGUAGGCGGCUUGCUGGGUCUUUACUGACGCUGAGGCACGAAAGCGUGGGGAGCAAACAGGAUUAGAUACCCUGGUAGUCCACGCCGUAAACGAUGAGUACUAAGUGUCGGGAUUACUCGGUACUGAAGUUAACACAUUAAGUACUCCGCCUGAGUAGUACGUACGCAAGUAUGAAACUUAAAGGAAUUGACGGGACUCCGCACAAGCGGUGGAUCAUGUCGUUUAUUUCGAAGAUACACGAAAAACCUUACCAGGUCUUGACAUACUCUGCAAAGCUAUAGCAAUAUAGUGGAGGUUAUCAGGGAUACAGGUGGUGCAUGGUUGUCGUCAGCUCGUGUCGUGAGAUGUUAGGUUAAGUCCUAAAACGAGCGCAACCCUUGUCAUUAGUUGCCAGCAUGUCAUGAUGGGCACUUUAAUGAGACUGCCAAUGAAAAAUUGGAGGAAGGUGAGGAUCACGUCAAAUCAUCAUGCCCCUUAUGAUCUGGGCUACAAACGUGAUACAAUGGCUGUUACAAAGAGUAGCUGAAACGCAAGUUUAUAGCCAAUCUCAUAAAAGCAGUCUCAGUUCGGAUUGAAGUCUGCAACUCGACUUCAUGAAGUUGGAAUCGCUAGUAAUCGCGAAUCAGCAUGUCGCGG
rnacentral:rRNA from 1 species